ACUCCUACGGGAGGCAGCAGUGGGGAAUAUUGGACAAUGGGCGAAAGCCUGAUCCAGCCAUGCCGCGUGUGUGAAGAAGGCCUUUUGGUUGUAAAGCACUUUAAGCGAGGAGGAGGCUACUUGGAUUAAUACUCUAGGAUAGUGGACGUUACUCGCAGAAUAAGCACCGGCUAACUCUGUGCCAGCAGCCGCGGUAAUACAGAGGGUGCGAGCGUUAAUCGGAUUUACUGGGCGUAAAGCGUGCGUAGGCGGCUUUUUAAGUCGGAUGUGAAAUCCCUGAGCUUAACUUAGGAAUUGCAUUCGAUACUGGGAAGCUAGAGUAUGGGAGAGGAUGGUAGAAUUCCAGGUGUAGCGGUGAAAUGCGUAGAGAUCUGGAGGAAUACCGAUGGCGAAGGCAGCCAUCUGGCCUAAUACUGACGCUGAGGUACGAAAGCAUGGGGAGCAAACAGGAUUAGAUACCCUGGUAGGUG
rnacentral:rRNA from 1 species